CGAAGUCUCCUGCGGAUGCCGCCCGCUCCCGAGCUUCUGUCAGGGGAGCGGGCGUGCGGGGGCGGCUGAGGAGGCGGGAAGGCGGCAGUGGUUGAAGGGGUGAUUGCUGACUAGCGGGGAGGGAGUGGGCAGCGAUGGUGAUGGCGGCGAAGAAGGGCCCGGGCCCGGGCGGCGGGGUCAGCGGGGGCAAGGCGGAGGCGGAGGCGGCCUCGGAGGUGUGGUGCCGUCGGGUGCGGGAGCUGGGUGGCUGCAGCCAGGCCGGGAACCGCCACUGCUUCGAGUGCGCCCAGCGCGGGGUCACCUACGUGGAUAUCACCGUGGGCAGCUUCGUGUGCACCACCUGCUCCGGCCUCCUGAGAGGGCUGAACCCCCCUCAUCGUGUCAAGUCAAUCUCCAUGACAACUUUCACUGAGCCUGAAGUAGUAUUCCUGCAAUCCCGUGGAAAUGAGGUUUGCCGGAAGAUUUGGUUGGGUCUAUUUGAUGCUCGGACAUCUUUAGUACCAGAUUCCAGGGAUCCUCAGAAAGUGAAGGAGUUUCUCCAGGAAAAAUAUGAGAAGAAGAGAUGGCCAGACACCUUCCCAAGGAGGCUUUGCCAACUUUGAUGCCUUUAGCAGUGGCCCCAGCUCUUCUGUGUUUGGAAGCCUCCCUCCAGCUGGUCAAGCCUCGUUCCAGGCCCAGCCAACUCCUGCAGGUAAACUGUGCCCCACUGGCUUCCUUUCUCUUCCAACCGUGUCCAUUUGUUCAUGUCCAUAAAUCACCAUUCAUAUCCUCACUAUCCUAAAGAACUGCUCAAAGCAGCAAAGCACAAAGAGAAGCAGCUCCAGGAGAGGAUGAGCGUGUCUGACACAUUCUUGUCAGGGAGAAGGGGCUCUACUGUUCUGCUUUUUCAUGAAAGGAAAAUGACUAAGAUUGCAGCAGGAGCUGUGUGGGUUAUACACUAGGAAACUUUUCACUAGGAAGUAUGGAAGACCUGAGUCCUAGAAAAAUUGAAAAUGGACGUGACUUUUUCUCUUAAGGUGCUCUUGUCUGCAUAGUACGCUGUCCCAAAGGGUCAAGGGUCAAGGUAGUCUCCAGAAGUCCUCAUCCAUCCCUCUAAGACCAAAGGCCUGUAAACUCUGUGUUGCUGCCAGCCACAAUGGCUCACGCCUGCAAUCCUAACACUUUGGGAGGCCGAGGUGGGAGGAUCGCUUGAGCCCAGGAGUUUGAGGCUGUAGUGAGUGAUUAUUGUCCCAUUGCACUCCAGUCUGGGUGACAGAGUGAGACCCCGUCUCAAAACAAACGAACGAACAAACAAAACCAAAUAAACUAUGUUAUUUAGCCAUUGCAA
rnacentral:sRNA from 1 species